rnacentral:rRNA from 1 species
UACAGAGGGUGCGAGCGUUACUCGGAAUUACUGGGCGUAAAGCGCGCGUAGGCGGCUUUUCAAGUCGAUUGUGAAAUCCCCGGGCUUAACCUGGGAACUGCAGUCGAGACUGUCUAGCUAGAGUAUGGGAGAGGGAAGUGGAAUUUCAGGUGUAGCGGUGAAAUGCGUAGAUAUCUGAAGGAACAUCAGUGGCGAAAGCGACUUCCUGGACCAAUACUGACGCUCAUGUGCGAAAGCGUGGGGAGCAAACAGG